CCUCAGCAACGAGCUCCCUCUCUUUCCGCCUCCACUUCCUCGCGAGCCUCUCUCUUCUCCUGCUCCUCACAGCGGCGGCGGCGGCGAUGCAGAUGGCGGCCGCGACAAUCGAUGCUCCGGUGGCAGCUGCGCCGCACCCACAUCCCCAUGCCCAUGGCCCACAAGUACCGCACGGUCACGGGCACCCGCACCCUCACCACCACAUGCCGCAGCCGCGGUGGGUGGUACUUCCUUACCCGCCGCCGCCGCCUAUGGUGGCCGCGCCGCCCCCUCCUACACCGCAGUAUGUGAAGCAUUUCGCGCCGCAGGCAUCGGUGACGCCGCCUCCGCCAUCGACUGGAUCCGGCGGGAACGGAGGUGACGAGAACCGGACGAUCUGGGUCGGCGACCUCCAGUACUGGAUGGACGAGAACUAUCUCCACAGCUGCUUCGGCCCCAGCGGCGAGGUGGUGACGAUUAAAGUUAUCCGCAAUAGACAUUCCGGAGUUUCUGAGGGUUAUGGUUUUGUAGAGUUCUGUUCCCAUGCAUCAGCAGAGAAAGCACUUCAGAAUUUUGCUGGUCAUGUAAUGCCUAAUACUGACCGAGCUUUUAAGUUAAAUUGGGCAUCGUAUAGUGUUGGAGAAAAACGCUCUGAACUUGCUUCUGAUCACUCAAUUUUUGUUGGUGAUCUAGCUGUUGAUGUUACUGAUGACAUGUUGAUGGAACUUUUUGCUAACAAAUAUCGUUCUGUGAAAGGAGCUAAAGUUAUUAUUGAUGCAAACACGGGCCGUUCUAGGGGCUAUGGAUUUGUUAGGUUUGGAGAUGAUAUUGAUAGAACUCAUGCUAUGACUGAAAUGAAUGGUGUGUAUUGCUCCACUCGGCCAAUUCGCAUUGGACCUGCAACUCCUAGAAGAACUUCAGUUUCAGGUGAUUUUGGCACCUCUCCACCAACACAAUCAGAUGGUGACUCGACUAACAGGACAGUAUAUGUUGGCGGGCUUGACCCCAACGUUAGUGAAGAUGAACUAAGGAAAGCAUUUGCGAAAUAUGGUGAUGUUGCUUCUGUCAAAAUUCCUGUUGGGAAACAAUGCGGUUUUGUUCAAUUUGUCAACAGAGCUGAUGCGGAAGAAGCAUUACAAGGGUUGAGUGGAUUAACAAUCGGGAAGCAGGCAUUUCGUCUUUCUUGGGGCCGCAGUCCAGCAAGCAAACAGUUGUAAAUCUGCAUGGACAACGGAAAGUUUAACGCACUGUAAAUCUACAUGGACAUUGGACAAUGGAUUUUUUUCAAGAUAACUGCAAGGGGGACCCCUACAAUAUAUAUAGGAACCCAGAUUUGUGUUAAUGAGAACUUGAAUUGCAAGUUGUGGGGUUGUACAUUAACUCCCGCAACCAAGGCUUAUAUGCUCGGUAGGAAAUUUGCAUUUAUUACACCAGUGUAGGAUAUUAUUCCAAUCUAAAGUCUAAAUCAUAAAAUAGAUAUUUUCUACAUGCUGUUUAUGGUUGGCAAAUUUUUUGGACUUGCAUUUGUAUGUGUUCUGCACAACUCAACUGGAAAGUAGUUUCUUUUGGGUUUUAUUUCUCACUUUUUUGCUCAUUUUUAAAGGAAAGUAAUAGUGUUUGAUAUUUGCCAUGGUAAUUUUCUCUAUGCAUGCUAUGCUGCUUGAGAUAACAAGCUUUUGUGAACAUAUGAUAACCUGUAGUCUAUGUCAUGUAACCUUGGGCUUGGGUGGUAUCAUGGCCCAGCUCUAGCCAUGUCCAUGUGGCUAGUGAGAUUGUGGUUUUAGUAAAUCUCCUUGUGUGUUUGUUCCUUGAGGAUCUCAAUUGGUGCUAAAGGAUAUCAUUCAGUCUAAGUUAUCUAAUUACAAUGCAAUCCAGUUUUAUCUUAAUUAUUUGGCUUUAGGCCAGGUCAAGCAACACGACCAAAAGUAACACUAAAUAACCAUACGUAGUAGUCACAUUCAUAAAUAGAUGUUGUGUUUGAUGUGUCUCGGUCUCUAACAUGCAACUUUGCUCAUGAAUUUCUUGUAUGCAUCUUAGUAUAAAAAUGUAAUUACUAUAGUAUGAAAAAGAAGUCCAUGAAAAAUCUCAUGAUUUUGUUGAGAACAGCUAGUACAAUGUAGGUGCAACACACACACCACCACAACACACACACAGACACACUCACAAAGUCUACUGAUGGAUGGUUGGAGUCAUGGAGAUUCAAGAUUCGGUGGGAAUGUUGCCUCCCACUGGGGGAAUAUUCCUCCUUAAUGAGAUAUGAACGUAGGGUUUGAUCCCUAGUGGGUUAGGGGGUCCGACCAUCCUCCUAACAACCAACCACAAGUGGGUUCUCAUGAAGAAAUAUAAAAACAUUAUAUUCAUGUGGCCAGUAUUAGUAUAUUAUUGAAUGUAAUGAAUCAAACAUAUCAAAGUUUGAUUGCACACCUUCUAGGAAUGCUAUCUAUUUACAAAUAGAGGUAGCAGUGCCUUCUUUCCUUGUGUGUCAGAUAAAGUGGCCAUGUGUGAAGGGUAUGGCAACCUGGUGCAUGUAGCUCCCGCUUGCGCAGGGUCCAGGGAAGGGUCCGACCACUUUGGGUCUAUAGUACGCAGCCUUUCCCUACAUUUCUGUAAGAGGCUGUUUCCAGGACUUGAACCCAUGACCUCAUGGUCACAAGGCAGCAGCUUUACCACUGCGCCAAGGCUCCCCUCCAUGUGUGAAGGGUAUGCAUAGUCAUUAUUGGAGCAAAAGAAACACAUCCGCCAACCACAAAUAUUAGGUUCUCUAUCUCUAUAGAAGUGGAUACAAUCCAUUUGUGGUCACUAGGCAGGAAGUAUGGCUAACUAUGAAUAGUUAGUCCGCCCCUUCUCUUCAUGUGGGUGCAGUCAUGAUGCUGUUACGCCACUUGGGUUGAAGGGCACUUCAAGCAGCCGGAGGGAGACUAACUAUAUCCUAUAUAACUUAAUAGGCAAUCCCCACUAACUUAUUUUUCUCAACAUGCAAGCAUGCCACCUGAACUUGCAACCAUGCAUGAGAAAAAGCCCACCUCAACAUGCGACCGUGCAUGUGAAAAAGGCUUUCCGUUCUAUUAUGCUAUUUACAUUCAACGACUAUUUUAUAACUAUACAAUAAAUCAUUUCAGUAUCAGCUCUCAAAUUAUUAAUCCAAGUGCAUGUUCCAUGCAACCAAAUCUUAAUUGAAAUACAUUGCAGCCAAUUCCUGCAACAAUGCAUGUGGUGUGAUCUAGUUAGCCCCCUUUGAUGUAGCACAAUACCUGCAUGCAUGACUAAUGUUUUUUGGAUAUUGGUCAACUAUCUACUUGAGCAUUCUUGAAAGCAUGUUGUUUGUACUAUGCAUUGUAGUGUCGUAUUGUCCCUAUCCACUAGUCAUCUAAGUGGUCUUACUUUAUUUAAUACAUACAAGUAGCACUCCCUUUCGUCAUGUGAGGUGAUGCAGAGAGGAACCGGGGAAACUUGGAGGAAUAUGAAGCAAGAGGUCUCGAGUUGGAAGAUGCAAUAUAAUUCAUUGAUACCCCUACACACACAUGGCAGCAGCUAUAGAUGCUACAGGGCCUCACACAUGCUACAGUAAUGGGCUGGAGGCAACUGGGCCGUAAUACCACCCAUGUAGAUAUAGCAGCCGUAGCAGUCCCCCUUCCUUUAAAGAGAUCUUGACCUCAAGCUGAAGGUAACUCCGAUAGCACGCUUGCCCACUCUGAGGUAGCCAUGGAUGUAGGAAGACCACUCAUGCAAUCUUGUACUGCUUGCGGGUAUGGCCUCCAACUUUGACAAGCAGAGUUUGGAGAACUUGGGCAGGUUUGGAUGAACUCACCAAAGAUUGAUCAUACUUUAGAGAUUUAGAAGCCGCCUCGAUGUCUUUAGGUGGUUUUGCAGGUUUGGGGAUGGAGACAUGGACAACAGGAUGAAAUUUGCUGGAUUUUGAGCUGUCUAGGGGUGAUUCUGGGCAUCGGCGGAAUGGCAUGUACUACGGCACGCCUUUCUACGGUGGAUAUGGCUACACGUCGCCAGUUCCUCACCCAAACGUGUAUGCUGCGGCUUAUGGAGCCUACCCUUUCUACGG